AACACAUGAUUUUCUCUUCCUGAAGCAUGGGACCGAUAUUGUAGCUUACCCUCCAGGGCAGGAUAAUUUGCUCAUUGUGGAUUAGUUGCCUUCAGCAGAUGAAAACUCCUGAAAACAAUGGAAAUCAAGGAGUCAGAAUGAACGUCAAUGCCAUUGUUUUCAAUAAGCCUCACAAAUCAAGCAUGGAAAAGAGAUUGCUGGUUUAUAAUAUUUACAUUCUGUUCUGCAACAAUCAUUCCCCUAGCUGCAGAGAGAGCCGCAAUAAUGUUCAUCAAGCAUCAUUGCUGCAUAAUUCAGUGUGGUAAGAUUUGUGGUGAU